rnacentral:lncRNA from 1 species
CCUCUGUUAAAAAUACCUUUCACCAAUGAAGCCAUCAAGCUAUGUUAAUUAAUUCACUUUCUUUGACAAAUGUAAGAAAAGCUCGUGUCUUGUAACCAUGGAGUGUGCUUAGUAUUUAUAGACUAUCGUAGUUGUCAUAAGAAGGUUAGAUCACUAAAAAUAUACUUUUUUAUUCAUUAUUUGACAACAUGUGAAAAUACAUUGGGACACAUCUCUUCAGCUAUUUUUUUUAUUUAUUUAUUAAAUUUUAUUUAUUAAAAAAUGUAGGAUGAUAAAAUAAUGUCUCAACUUAAGUUAGUGAAGAUUUUAUAGUUGAUUGAACACUUACAAAUAAUUUACAUUUGCGUUCUUUAAUAAUAUUAGAGGAUAUUUAGGAUAUCGAAUUUAAGAGAGAGAAUAGGUUGGGCCGAUGUAGAGUUUGUUAGGCUUGUAAAAAAAUUCAAGGUUUAAGUCUAGUUUGUCGGUUACAGACUUACUUUUUAAGUCUGAGUUUGACAUUGAUAAAAGUUGUGAUAGAAGUCUGGUAUUAUAUUAUCUGUUAUCAUACUUAAAAGCCUAAUUCAUUUCAAUAUUUUUGAAUAAAUAAUAAAAUAUAUAUUUAAAUAAAUUAAUGAAUUAAUAUGUCAAUAAAAUUAAGUUCUAUUUUGAUAUUUAACAUUAUAUUUUGAAGAAUAUGAUUUUAUAAAUAUAAAACUUAAAUUAUAUUUUAUAAUAAUACAUUUAAAUAUGUCAAAAACUAAAUGAUAUUAAUAUGCUAAAUUAUUAAAAGUUGAAUAUAUAAUAAAAAAAAAUCAAAAUUUAGUAUAAGAAUUAUACUGGUAAAAAAAUAUUAUUUAUAUUUAUUUAAAUAAGUCGACCUAAUAGCUCAAUAAAUUUAUCAGGUAGUUUGAUCUUUUUAACUAAUCUAUUUUAAAAAAAAAAAGUCUAACAUGAUCUAGACCUGACAUAUACUAUUAAUCUGAUCUAUUUUCAUCUUUAAUUCGAUCUAAUACCUAUUUUUUAGUGUUGUAUUAAUGUUGUUUCUUGUGCAAUUUUAUAUUUAUCGUGAUUAUCUCGUGGCUUAUAAAAUAAUAAUGUCAUUUGCAUAAUUAUUUUGAUUGUUCUUAUAUGUACCAGCUUUUACGUUAUGGGUAAUCAUGAGUCUAUUGCACUAUUGUUAAUUACGUUCUUACCUGUAAGCCGACCAAAAUAUUCCUUUUUUAUUUUUUUUAUUUUUUUAUUUUCAUACUCUUGUUUAGAAGUAAAUUUCAAAUUUAACCCUUAAUCUCACUUAUUCACUAAUUAAUUUAUUAAAGUAUUCUAAUUUAAUAUUUCUAAUGUUAAUCACGUUUUUGUUUUGUUUUAAGGGAUGGGUAACUUAAGAGUUAUCUUUAUAUCAUGGUAUAGAAAAUAUAAUUUAAAUUAUAUUUUAUUUUAUCUUAAAUCUAAAAUAAUGACAUUAUUUAACUAUUUCACAUAAAUUAAAAAAAUUAUUAUUAAUUAAAAUUUUCUUUUUAAUCAUUGAUGUAUUCUAUUUACCACAAAUAUAAAAUAGUGAAUAAUAAAUUGAUAGUGAUUAAUAUAAUUUAAUACUUAAUUGUAGUUCUGGACCCUUUGUUUUUAUCAAUUAAAAAAAUUGAUAUAUUUAUUUUAAAAUUCGACAGUUGUUGUCCUUCUAUAAAAAUUUUGAACUAAUAAAAAUGACAAUUUAAGGUAUUUUAAAUAAUGUGAGAUUCAAUUACAUGAUAUAGAAUCACCUAGAUAAAUUAAUUAUUUAUAUAUGUCAUUAAUUAAAUUAUAAAUAUGAAGAAAAAAAAUUGAAGUUGAAAGUUACAUUUUUAUAGUGUUUUAUUUUGAUUUUAUAAAUGUUAAUCAUUCUACGCCAUUUUAUCAUAUGACAUAUUAUUUAAAACAUGUAACGUGACCAUUUUUUAGUUAAAAAAUAGAGGGUCCAAAUUGUCAACUUUUAAAAUAUGAAAUUAGUUUCGUGAAUCAGUAGAAAUAUGAGAACUAAAACUAAAAUCAAACUUAAUAUUAAUUAGAUAAUACAGUUAAAAAAAAUUAAAAUUACAUUAAAAAAUGAUGUAAUUUAUACAUACAAUAUAAAUAAUUUUUAUAUUAUCAAUCAAUAACACAACCGUUAUAUUAUUAGAGGUAUUUAAAUUUUAUCAAAUUAUCUUUAAAAUUAUAUUCAUAAAUACAUAUGUACUUAUGAUAUAUUAAUAGUAUAAAUUUUUUAGAUAGUACAUAACAAUUAAUUUUGCGAUGUUCAGACGUGUUGACCCAAAUGACAUUCCUACAAAAAUUCUUGAAAUUCCUACAAAAAUGCUUUUAGUCUCUUCACAAACGGAUGUAGGAAUAAUCAUAACCUGAGGUUGCCCCACCUAUCUUAAUUAAAAAUUUAAAAACUAACUUGGUGAGAUUUGAAAAUCUUAAAGCAAAAUAUUAUAUCAAUAAAUAUACAUCAUGUGCGUGUACGGUGUAUGGUAAAUCCUUUUGGAAAGAUUUAUUCGUACAAACACAUAGCAUAUCACAUAUGUUAUUUAGACAUAAUAUAUACUAUUAGUUAAUGUCUUUUUUUCAUCGUAAUCAUACGAGUAAAGAGAACAUAUUAAUAAAAAAAAUUCAAAACUGUAUGUUAAUAUGGUUUUUGAUGUCGAAAUUUAUGUCAAAAUAUUAUUUCUGCAUAGUACAUAUAAAUAAAGAUUAUGAUAUAAUUUUUGAAAAAUUAAAAGAUUAUUAAAUAUUUAUUUUAUUUAUAAGUGUAUGUUUUUUUAGUUUUUCAUAAGUUAUUUUCACCAAAUGUAAUCUGUUAUGUUAGAUAUUAAAGUUGAUACAUCUUUUGAUGAAAAUUCAAACUUCAACAUGUUAAGUGCACAACAAAGCCUGGAUAAAACACAUUAAACAACUUUUAUCAUUUUAAGAGAUUUAUUUCAAAUAUGUCAGCUACAUAUACCAUUUAUGUGAUGGCCAUUUUUAAAUAGUAUAUUAUAAUAGUUUAACUUUAAUUUUUUUUUUUGUGUGACUAUUAUGUUUCCUAUUUUGGAUUAUUUACCAAUAAUAUAAAUUAUGUAAAUGUUAUAAAAAUGUAUAAUUGAUUUUGGAAACAAAUAUUAUUUCCAUAAAUAAAUUGAAGUUAUCAAAUAAUAUUUUGGGACAGAAACGGUAGUAAUUAUUAUAAGCAUGUUUUACAAAAUAAUUUUUUUAAUAUUCUAAAUAAUAAGUUAUUGAUGUAAUUAAUUUGAGGUUAAAUAUAUCCCCUUAAAUUUAAUUACAUUAAUUAAAUAGUGCAAAUUUUAUAAAACUAUUUUUGUAUUAAUAAUUCAUUUGUGCCAAAUUAUAUGUCAUUUUUCCAAUUUCACAUAAAUUAAAAAAUAUUAUCAAUGUUGUAUAAAAAAGAGAAAUUAUGAUUUGUUUUAUAAAAUAUCGUUCAUUAAUGAUAUAAGAACGAUAAAUUUAAAACAUUGAGAAAAAAAAAAAACAAAGUAAUACAUAGUAAAAAGUUUAAUAGCAAAAGAAACAUUAAUAAUUUAGUGAUACCGGAAAACAAUAUCAUUUAGAAAGAAAUUAUUGAACACUUAUCUAACCAUUAAUAGUCGAACAUAAUUAAUCAAAUAUCAAAUAAUUAUAAGCAAUAAAAAUAAUUAUAAAAUUCUAAUUUGUCAAAAUAGCAAAAGAAACACAUCAUCGUUUUUCCUCUUAACUUCAUAGUAUCCAGUGCAACAUCCUCAACUCUCACUAUAUCGACAUAUGAAAAUUAAAGCGAAUCUUAAUUCUUUCAAACCUCUCUUUGAAUACAUGAGUGACAUUGACUUGAAUCCCCAAAGAUUAAGUUCACCCUUUAUAUUUUUUUUAACCUAUUAAAUAUAGUUUUUAUUAAAUAUUUCAAUGGUUAACAUUUGUCAAAUAAAAUAACAAAAAUAACAAAAUCAUACAGUUAUUUUAAAAAAUCAUUUAUGUAAUAUAGUAAAAAAGAAAAUAUUAAUGUUUUAUUCACUACACUAUUAUUUAAAAUAAUAAGGACCAUAAUUAUAACUCAUACUAAUAGAAUUUUAACACGUGUAUCACACGUACUUAUAUCAAUGGUAAUCUAUUCUGCAUCAAUUACCAUUAACAACAUAAACAACAUAACUUGUAUAAAACAAAUACUAUAAGUCAUUCAGUUUAAGAAAUAGAGUUCAAUUUAUUAUUUGAUAUUGUCACCCAUUUAAUCAAUCACUGCUCUUUUAUUCAAUUACAAAUAUGAUUAAUAUUUUAAAAUAUCUUGAAAUUAUUUUUUCAAUUGUGUUACUUUAAGAGCAUCCUAAUUUUGGUACUUUAAGAGCAUUCACUUAAGUUUAUCUACUUAUUUUAAAUGAUUUUGAUGAUUUUGAAAGGAUUUUAUCAUUUUGUAUAACUUUUUUAAAAGAGAUUUAAAAAUAAAAGUUUUAAAUAAGAAAUUAGUUUGAAUAGCUUCUAUUUUAAGUAUUUCAUCAUUUUAUUACAAAUUUUUUUAGAUGAUAAAAUUUCAAAAAUUGUUUAAAAUAUGAAGCUAUUAAUUUUGAGUAGUUUCUCAUAAAAAUCAUUUUCAAGAUGUAUUUUUUUUUAAAACAAUAAUUUUUUUAUUUUUUUUAAAUAUUUAUAUUAUUAAAUAUUAAAAUUAUUAUUUUUAAAUCUAUAACAUAUAACUCUUAAACAACUUUUAUUGUUUUUGAAUAGGUUUUCAUAAAAAUCAUUUUUCAUUUAAUCUAUAACAAACAUACCAAUAUCUUUAUUGUGUAGAUUACUUUUUCAGCGCAUUAAUUACCACUUUUUCCAUGCCAUAUUGCAGAAUUGUAGUACUGCUAGCUAGCUACGUACAAACCUUGGUGUUCUUAAUUCAUUCAUUGAAUCCAAACAUGAAGGUUGCAUUUCAUAUUACAUGUCUAACAAAUACAAGAGAUACAUACAUCAUAUGUAGUUCUUAGUAAAGUAAAACGUAAGAGUGAACAACCAAAGAUACAAAGCAAACAUGACAUGAUUGUGAUGAGGGAAUUUGAUUGCUACUCAUAUUUUAUUCAAUGCCGCAACACAACAAACCAUCAACCUCUUUAUAUGGAGAUACUAUUGGGAAUGUCUCUACAAGUCAAUCCUUUAUCACUAGAAGGAUAAAGCAAAGUGUAAGGCAUUUUCACUAGUCCACGUCGGUUUCUCAAUGACUCAUCAUUGUUCCUUUGAAUGAGCAUUUGCUCAAUUUUUGCCAACUUCUUUCCAAACCUCUUGAAAGCCUCAAUUGGUUGUGAAUCAGAAGUCCAAAGAUCACCUUUAACUCUUUGUCCAAGGUAUACAACAUAUGGAUAGUCCUCUGUUAAAAGACGAAUGUCGUGUGGAGAAGUUGAUCCUCAAUAGCCACUCUUCUAGAUAACAAGCAAGGAAGAUCACUACUAAAAAUUUCACUUUUAGUGACCGAUUUGGAGACUAAAUUUUUUCGAUCACUUUAGAGACUGAAUUAGAGACCAAAAUACAAAACUGUAUAAAGAACCAUUUUUUUGUCACUAAAUCGGUUGCACAUGAUAUUUAGAGACUGAUUUAAUGACUUAAGUUUUAGUGACAAAAAAAUCGAUCUCUAUUAUUUAUAUCUUCUUUUUAAUUAAAAUUGCUGGCAAAACUUUUAUUAAUGUCUAUUUUUGUUACAACACAUAUUUUUAUUACAUCACAUUUUUCAUUUGCGGCAUAUUUUGUUUUAAUUGGACAUAUCUUUGAUUUUGUUUUGUCUCAUCAGUUUCUCAUAAGAAAUCAUCUCAAAAUUUAAUUGAUUUGUGGACAUGAUUUUGUAUUUAAGUGUAUUACGUGUUUUUUUUUAUAAAUGAAUGAACAUCAAUGUUUUAGGAAUCACUAUUAGAAAAACCGAUUUUAGCGUCGGCCAAAAGCCCACACUAAUGUUGACUUGGCGUCCGAUUAGCGUCGGUGUCGGCCUAGGCUAAAACCGUCGAAGUCAAUAGCGUCGGUCAAAUACCAUCCCAAAGUAAAUGCAUCCAACACUAACAAAUAACAAUACCUUCAAAUUAGAAUCCGCUAGUUUAUAUCCUGAAAAAAUUCUAUUGCGUCGGAAUUACGGUCGACAAAUUAGUUAGCGUCGGCUACUCCGACGCAAUGGUCAACUAAUAAAGUAAGUGGACUAUUAAUAAAAGUCAACUUUGUUACUAAUAUAGCGUCGGGCAUGCCAAUGCUGCGAUCAACAAUUGAAACGUAAACAACAAAGAACAAAUCAAAUAAAUGUAGUUAAAUAUGUCACCACAAGCAUGAUAUAAUUGAUAAUGCAUAAAAAACACUUUAACAAAUGCCUAAUUCUUUCACCAGGUUCCAUUAUGCUUCAUUAUUAUAUACUUAUAUCAUAAAUCCCAGAUAGACAUCAAACAGAGAAAAUAAACCUUGCCUUGCAAAACGAGGUAAAGAACAACGUCAAAUUCUGUAUAAAUGCCUAAACAGAGGGUGCAAAAAAGCCAAGGUUAGACAUUGCAAACAAUUCAGGAAAUUGGGCUUCUUAUUGAGAUGAUGAAUACUGUUGCUUAUUUUUUAAAACCACAUGUAAUAAUAACUCAUGUAAAUUGUUGGUUUUUUAGAGGAAUGAGUACGCAUACAUGAAUGUAGUAUGUGUGUGACCCUCUUAGAUUCAUUAAGAUUAAUGUAUGAAAACAUUUAAAAGAAUAAUGAAAUAGAUUGCAGUAAAAAGAGCAUUACCAUUGCUCCCUUCAACAAUUCCUGCGGGUUCAGAGAGCUGCAAAACAUUGAUAAAUAUGUUUUAACAUAUAUCCAUGGCUAUUAGGUAAGUAAGACUUCAUUUGUUUUGAUUUGUUAUGUUGAUAUUAAUUUGCAUGAGCAUUUACAUUAAGUCGCUUGCACAUGAAAUAUUAAUUACUAAUAGAAACUUGCAGGCUGACCAGUCAAUCUUAGUGUCACAAGAACUAUACAUAAAUAAGAAUGAGGAGAGAAUUUUGAGAAACUUCAGCAAAGACAGAAUUUGGAAAUUGCACAUAAAGACAAAAGGAACAUAUAAAAUAUCAUAACAUAUAUUCCCCUUUGAAGUAUUACACACACACACAAAUACAAUCAAUUGAGCCAUGCACUCAGCCCCACUCAACUCCACCUAGUAAAAAGUGGUUUGCUUGUUGUUGACAAUGAUAAAGAAAUCUAAUUAUAGAAGCAAAAUUAGUACUGCAAGGCGCAAGCUAUAAAAGGCUUCACAAAUUGUCCGAGAAGAGAGGAUCACCACCAGCUAGCAAACGAGAUCCUCCUGUUUUCAGAUCAACUCUUGAUCAUUGGUACAGUAAGGACAUAAUUCGAACAACACAACCAUAAUUCGAACAGUACAGUCAAACCCUAAACCAAAACUGAACACAAACGACUUAGAUGGUUAAGGUUACAAUUACAUCGAGAAUGGAUGACAGUGAGAGUGAGCCUGAGAGACGAAAGUGAGAGUGAAUUUGAGAGACGAGAUUGAGACGGCGAAAGUGAGUCUGAGAGAUGAGCGGACGAGAGUGAGAUUGGGGGUGAGGCUGCGAGAGUGAAUGUGAGGCGAGGGAAACGGUGACACGGCGACGAAAGGGUGAGAGUGAAGAGUCAAGGGCGAGGGUUAGGGAAAAAUUAAUGAAGUGGGGAUAGGGAAAAUGGGGUGGGUGAGAGAUAAUAGGAAAAAAUAAUUUUAAUUUUUCAAAUAAGAUUAAAAGAUUUAAUUUUACAAAUCAGACAAUGUAGCGCCAGUCGACCUAAACGGCCAUAUUUUACUUAGCGUCGGCUAAGCCGACGCUAAUGUUUAAGCGGAAAAGAAAUUAAUGAACAUCAAUGUUUUAGGAAUAAAUGAACAUCAAUUUUAGGAAUGUUUGCAUAUAUUUGGGUUUAGAUAUAAGUCAACUAUAUAUUGUUUGAUUUGAUUCUAAAGAUGAAAAAAGGAUUUUGGAUAAGGAGCAGCAACAACCAUUCUAUCAUUGCAAACUCAUUUGAGUUUGUUAAGUUGCCAAUUGUGGCUAUAUAUUUUUGAUGAUUCAUUUGUAUUUAAAAUGAUUUGUUCAAUAUAUUCAGCAAAUAAUGCAUAUUAUUGGAAUUAGCACUGAACAAAGCAUAUGUUAUUUUGAAAAUGAAAAAAAUAGUGUUUUGAGGAGGAACUAUAAUUUCUCACCCGUUUGGAAAUUGUUUAACUUCUUAUUUCUCAAUCUAACACACUCACAUAUUAGGGCUAUUCUGUACGUGGUGUUUAGCUCUCAUUUAUGAGAAAAUUUCAAUGGCAACUUUAGGUUGUUUCGUUGGUUAGUAUGAUUGACUUAUUUAUGUUACAAACAAUUUUGAUUUGUUUUUUAUUGAAAAGCUUCUUUUCUUUCGUAUUGUUUUGUUCACUUGUACAAUGAUUGACUAUCUAUGUAUGCAUCUACAUUACCUAUAAAUCUUAUUUGGAUUUUAUCCAAAAGCGCUUCAUUUUCCUAAGGUUUAUGUGAAUUUUAGUUGCUAAAAUAUUUUCAUUGAAUUAUUCACUAAACUAAAAUUGAUUAGUCACUUACUAAUAUUAUGUAAAGUUUCAAAUAUUAAGAUUCUUCUAUUGUUGGUUAUUUUUAUCAACAACUUACAAGAUCACUUUUUUUAUUUAGGUCCCGCUGAGGAACUUGUUGAAAAACCGUUUGUUGUCAUAAAUUGGCCACAAUAUUCAAAUUUUAUAUUUUUCAAGCUAAAUACCCUAUCAAAAAGAAUUAUGAGAUAAACACUUAUUACAAAUAAACAUAAAAAAUAUGAGAUAAAUAUUUAUAAAAGAUAAAUUUAAAAAGCGCAUGAAUAAUAUUUAUCAUUAUUACUUUAAAAAAAUAUAAGACAAAUAUUUAUCACGAAAAGUAUAAAAAGCACGUGAUAAAUAUUUAUCAUUGAAAAAUAUAAAAAAUACCAGACAAAUAUUUAUUACUGAUAAAUAUAGAAAUACAUGAGACAAAUAUAUGUUAUUAAUAUAUAAAAAAUAUAUGACACAUAUUUAUCACCGAUAAAUAAAUAUAAAUAAAAAAUACGGAACAUAUAUUUGUCAUUGAUACAUAAAAACAACAUGAAAAAAAUAUUUAUCACAAAUAAAUAUAAAAAACACAGGAUAAAACUUUGUCACAGAUAUAUAAAAAGAAAUAUGAAAAAAAUAUUUGUCAUCGAUAAAUAUUAAAAAUACACACAGAAUAUAUAUUUUUCAUCGAUAAAUAUAAAAAAUUAUGGGACCAAUAUUUAUCAUUGAUACAUAAAAAAAAAUACAUAACUUAUAUUUGUCAUUAAUCAAUUUAUAAAAACAAUUGUGACAAAUAUAUGUCAUUAAUACAUAAAAUAAGACAAGAAAAAAAAUUGUUGAUAAAUUUAAAAAAGCACAAAACAUAGGGCAAAUAUUUAGUAUUAAAAUCAUACACGAUACAAAUAUUUGUCUUUAAAAAAUUAGUUAAAAUUAAUGUUAUUUUUAAUAUCUGAUACAUAAAAAUAAGAAUAAUUAUAAUACCGUAUUUAUAAAUAAAAAAAUAUACUCAAGACAAUUGUUUGUCAUAAUUAAUUAAUGAUUUAAAUAUAUAUUUGAUCAUCAAUUAUAGUAUUUUUUUAUUUUAGUCCUCAUAUGUUUUUUUGUUUGAUUCACAUCUCUCCAAAUACAUAUUCAUUUUAAAAUGGAGGGAGACAAUAAAAAUUAGAGUUUUCAGUUUUAGUUUCCCUUUAAAAAAAUAAUCAAAAAAUUAUUUUUUAUAAAAAAAUUUAUUUAAUACAUUGUGUCGUCAACUUAAUAUUUUAAUUACUUAAUGGUGUUAGAAUUUUUUUAUCAAAAAUUGGUCUAAAAGACUAUUUUAAAAUGAAUAUGUAUUUGUAGGAAUGUGAAUCAAACAAAAAAAUUUACGAUAACUAAAAUAAAUAAAUAAAAUAUUAUAAUUGUAAGGACUAAAGACGUAUUUAAAUCUUAAUUAAUUAAUUAAUUUUAAUUUAAUUAAUUAAGUUUAACUUACAUUUGUCUUUUUUGCUUAAUUUAAUUGGUUAUGCUUCAACAUUAUAGUAUCGUGCUUCGAUUAUAUCAAUUAAAUUUUUUGAUAGUAAAAUGUUAUAAUUUAUUUUAACAUUUAUGCAAAUAACAUAUCAUAAUUAUUUAUAUAAUAUUUAACUAUUCAUGUUAUAAUUAAGUGUUAUGUAUUUUUGUCCAAAUGACUUGUCCAAAUAACUGUGCCCAACCAAGUAUUUUUCUUUGUGCAUAGAGUAAUUUGCACUGUUGUAGUUAUUGAGUUAUUAUUUGUUUUGAAGUGAUUGAGUUAUUAUUAGUUAAGUUUAUUUUACUCAAAACUUUGUUAUUUGUUAUUUUAUAAGCAAAUAUAAAUAAUUAGUUAGAUUAUAUUAAUAUAUGAGAUCAAAUUUGAGAUAUUUUGAUUGAAAUGUUAUAUAGUAUAUAUAUAUAUAUAUCCCAUUAUGUUAGAUUAUUCAAUUAAUUAAUUAUUAUAAAUUAUGGCUAAUUGCUAAUAAAUAUUAAUUAAUUAUUAUAAAUUAUGGCUAAUUGCUAAUAAAUAUUAAUUAAUUAAUGAAUCUGUGUUGAAUUAUGUUUCUUAAAUCCAAUGAAAAGACUAUCCUUAAUAUUUUAUAGAAAAUUUGUCUUCGAUAGUAUAAAGUUGACCAAAAUACGUUACUAUAAAUCAACUUCUGUUGAUGUAUUAAGCAUCGGAGAGCAAAAAUAAAGGUGGAGGAAUACUUACCGACCUUUACACCAAUUUAUUUUUGUGUAAUAUCUUUUUUAAAAUAAAAUUGAUCGAUUUAAUAUUUGUUGAGAUAAUAUUAAUUUUAAAUAAAAAUUUAUUAAUAUUAAAUUUAAAAACAGUAGAAUAUAGAGGUGGAAAAAUCAAUCGAAUCGACAAUUUGUUUAUAUAAUUUAUCGAUCUCAGUUUUAAAUUUUAUACAUAAAAUACUAAAAUAUAUAUGUAAGGGAUUUUCGUUUUUAAUUUCAAGAUCCCUAAAUGUCUCUUACUAGAAUUAUUUUUUAUUUAACUAUUUUUCUAAAAGUUGAUUGAAAUUUUAUGUUUUUAUCAAUACAAGAACAACAUAUUAAUUUUUCACGUAAUUUCAUGAUAUGGAUUAAGAGAGAUAAUUUGUUUUUAAUUUUAAAAACUCUAAAAUGUCUCCUUGUUGUUUAAUUAUUUUUCUAAAUGUUAAUUGAAAGUUUAUAUUCUUAUGAUUAUUGCACUCAAAAUAUUAACAAUUACAUGAGUUUAUUUUAAAAUUGAACUCAAAAUAUUAACAAUUACAUGAGUUUAUUUUAAAAUUGAGAGAACUUUAAAUUCCAAUUUAACUGAUUUAAAAUCAAAAUCAACAAUAUAAAUAUUUACGAAUAUAAAAGACUUACUUAAAAAAUAAAAAAGGACUAACGUUGAAAGUUAAAAGAUAAAUCUAUUAUAUUCAUAUAACUUAAAAAACUACAAUAUAUAUUUGCAUAAAUAAAUUUAAUAAUAUAAUAUUAUUACUUUUUAAGGUAAAAUAUGAUUAGUUAGUAUUACUUUCACAAAAGAAAAUGAAAAUGAGGUGUAUUAGUGUAUGAUUAUUACCUAACAAUAUAUAUAUUGGCCAAACAAUUGGUUCCGGAAAAAUCAUAAGGGUGUAUUAAUACUUUUUCAGCACUAUAUCAUUUUUCUUCCAUACAAUAUUGCAGAUUAAUUCGCACUACUACCUUUAUAAAAGCAUAAGUAUUAUUCUAUGGUACCAUUUUGUAAGUUUUAUUUUUCAAACUCUCUAACACAUCACACAUGAUAUUGCAGUCUCUUUAUAACCUUUUACAUAGAAACUGAAUAGAAUGUAUAUGCAAUAUUGAUGCUUACGGUAGGACAAUUCACUACUAGAAAAACAAGCUUUAGCGUCGGCCAAGAACCCACGCUAAAAACAAAAGGCCGACGCUAAAUAUGAUUUAGCGCCGCAGCAGAGGCUCAAUCUAAAAGGCUCGAAGCUAGUCAUUCGCGUCGGCUUCUUGUCAUCGGACGCUACAAUCUAUGGCAGAAUGGCCGAAGCUACAUGUUGUGUCGAUGAAACCGACGCUAAAUAGCGUCGGUUAGGCCUACGCUAACAUUGAAAAUCCCAAAAAAUAUAUCGCGAUACAGAACCACGUAAUAUAAAAGCUGUGUUAAUAAAUCCACAACGCAAAUUACAAAUAGUUAUUACAAAAAAAUAUUAUUGCACACGAAAAAAAGAUAAAAUAAAUAAUAGUAUAUCAAACUUAGAUGAAAUUAAGGUAAUUAGAGAAUCGAAUGAAUAGCAUAGUCCACCUUAAAAAAAAAAAACGAUAAGCAAUUAAAUCUAGAUUUGAAUUUUGUCAUUUUUAAUUAGAACAUUGUUCACUUGUUCUAGAGUUCUAUAUAAAUACAAUGUGUUUUUCCACUCUCAAAUUCCUUCAAAUAUUACCACCAUUUCAUUAUAAAGGAAAAAAGAAAGUAUUUUCGGUCUAAAAUGAAAAAGUAUACGAUAAGACUUACUCUUAUUAAGGGGAUUAGCACAAGGUCUUACAAAUUCUCUAAAAUUACCUUACCCUCCAAGAUCAAGAAGGAGAAACUUUACAAACAACUUAAAAGUAAGUUUUUGAGGCCAUUUACUCAUGCAAAAUACAUAUAAACCUCAAUAAAAAUUUCACAUAAUCCCAUCUCAUAAUAGAACAUAAAAACUAAAAAAAUAAAAAUAACAUAGUACCUUUCCUUGAUAAAGAACAAAAGGUAGGAGAAUAAGAAAUGCAGCACAGGGAAAAGAAAAUGAUAAUGGUAAAACAUGUAAGACCCAAAGAUCUAAGAUAACCCAUAAGCAUAGCAUUCCCAUCAUAAACAAAUUGCACACCAUUUCCCUCCAAUUACAGCCACAUCUUCCAUCAUACCAUAACUCAUCAUUUUUACUCAUUUCUUAUAAUUCCAAAUUCCAAACAUGAGAGGAGUGAUUUAUAUUUUAGUCUAUCCUCUCUUUUAUAUCUCAAUUUCAAUUCCCUCUAUACUCAAUAAUUCUCUCUAUCAUAAAUCAUAUAUUAAACUAAUAACAAGAAAAUGAAUAUGGAACUAAUCAUGAGAGUAUUGAUGAUGUAUGCAAUCCAAGUCUCCACAAUAAAAGUUCUAUUAGUUUUGAAGUCUAAGGUCUACAUCACUAACACAUAAUCAACUAGAAGACAAUAAGUGCGAAUUUAAUACUUACAAGCUCAAGUUCCACAUCAAUAUGAGCCUUGUGGCAUGAGGUCUGGAACGCUCUUCUUCUUGGUGAAGCUCGACGAUCUUAUUUUGAUUGGAGAUGUUCUUGAAUUUUACGCCUUCCCUGUAAGCUUGAAGACAAAUCCAAGCUUCCUCACCUAGAAAAAAAUAUAUGAACUUAAGAAACAAAUCAAACAUGACAAUGUAAACAAUUUGUAAACUAGACAUAGAUUACCAAUGAUAAAUAAGGGUAACAAUAAGAACAAUCAACUUGUAAACUAGACGAUGAGAUCAAUAAUCUAUUACAACUUACAAGAACCUCAAAAUAUAGAUUAUGCAAGUAUCAACCAAUAAUUGUGAGUCAGAAUGCUUCCAUCAAUAAUCUAUUGCAACUUACAAGAAGCAAACGUGCUUUUCUUAUAAUGACACAAUAACUAAAUCCCUAAGUUACAUCUUUGUUCACAUAAGGUAAAAUUAAAAGGUAAGUUAUCAAACAUGCAAAUAAGGAACAAAAAAGCUUAACCUUGUUCAAUAUAAACAUUAAAUUUAAAUAACAAAAGAAAAUCAUAAGUCUAAUAAUCAUCAAUCUCAAUCCAAUGCUCAAAAUAUACUUUAGUUCAAUCAAGGCAGGUGCAGCUAAAGGUCUUACUGUUUCCAAAUCACACCAUAAUAAUGGAAAUAAUGAUCUUUUCAACGUGGGCUUCAUCGCUAGGUCUGCUGCAAAGAUUCAAGCUAUAGCUAAUAACAAAUUCAUCCUUCUACAUGAUGAGGACAAUGCAUGUAGCUCAAACUAGACUGUAAUUGAGGAUGAACUAGGGAUUAAUGUUAAUUCUCAAGGCUACAUCCCUCCAAAUGACAGUACCCUGUAAGUUACAGAGAUAUCAGAAACACCUUUGGAUGAUAUGACUACAAGAUUUGGAGUUGCACCCUCCUUAACAUUUUUUAGGAACACAAGGCACAAUUGCACCUUAUUAAGCCACAAUAAGAACAACAUUUAUCAACAUACAAAAUCAAUCACUAACAACAAUCAAAUGUAAACUAACCAUGAUUAUGAGACAUCACAUCCAGAUCCACUAAUCUGCAAUUCAAUCACAUAAUAGUUUCAUAUUUUUCAGACUUCAGUAAAAAGAACAGAACAUGGCAAUAUCAAAAAAAAUUAGGGUUCAAGGAUCAAAGUAGCUUACCUGAUGCUGCAAGAGUUGUGUGAGGGCUUCCUAGAAGAGAAGGGAGAAGUGGUCAUAUGACUGUGAAUAGAGGUCAAAAAUCAUAUUUGAACAAUGUAACAAUAAUGCUUUCUAAAAUAUGGGGUUUAGGAUUUUAUAAAAAUUGAGAGAAAAUGAAAGAUUAGAGUUUCAUAAAAAUUGUUCCUUUGAAACUCAAACUCGAGACUUUAGGAAAGAAAAACUCACCUUUGAAUAAAAUGAAGACAACAGUGGAGGAAGAAAAGUAUGGCAUGGCAGUGAUAAACCAAAACUUUCUGCAAAGAAAAAACUGGAAGGAAAUUAGAAUAGACAAGAAUGAGGGAAACGAGAGUGAUGAGAAUGAAUGAGGGAAAGAAAGGAAAAUCGUGAAGGUUUUUUUGGUGUGUGGGGCAAAAAGAAAGGGAUGAAGGGAGGAGAAUGGAAGGAAGAGAACUGGUGGAAAGAGACGAGAGUGGACGGUUAAAACCGUAUUUUCUAGCGGUUAUUAUUACCUAGAAUAUAACCCGGGCAAUACUUCAUAAUUCUAUAAAUAAGUAGUUAUUGUGAAUAAGAUUUUAAAAAUAAUAUAAUUUAUUUAUUUUAUUUGUAGAGUAAUUUUUUUAAGUGGAUUUAGUAGAGUAAUUAUUAUAUAUAAGUUGACAUACACACAUUUGAGAAUAAGUAAAAUGUUUUGUAUAGUGAAGAUCAUCCUACAAAUAAAAUUCAUAAAUUAUAUUUAUUGUUAAAAAUCUUAAAAAUAUUUUAAUAAAUAUUAAUAUAUAUAAUUAUCUACCACAAAAUUAUAUUAAUCAUGCUCUUCUUUUGUGUUGUCAAAAUAUUGUUAGAAAAAUAUGAAAAUAAUUUUAUCAUUUAGUAUUCAUUUCAUUAUAAUCUGUAAAAAAAACAAAUAAUUUUUUAAUCUAAAUGGUAAAUAGUUUUAUCUCAAAGACACAAUAAUAACACUCAUAUAAAGCUGAAUAUGGACAAUAUUAUUUGUCUUUUGAGAAGCCAACAUACGAUCAUGUCGUAGAUGAGAUCACAUAUGUCUCUAAAAACAAUAUUAUAACUAAGAACAAUCAAGAUUUUGAGAAAAAUGAACAAAUAAGUAUAAUAUGUUACAAAAUACCACUUACUCAAAAACUAUUUGUACAAAAAAAAACAAUUCCAACUAUAUCUACUUCUUUGAAAUAAUUGGGUUGCAAAGAGAUUUUCUUUUGAGUUGAUAAAGUGGAGUUGUGAAAACUUAUAUGCAUAAUGUUUUCUCAUGACAUUGACAAAUCUUAAAAGUUAAUAGCAUAAGUUGCGAUAUAUAAGUUAAUUGCAUGAUGCUGCGAAAUAAAAGAUAAUUGCAUAAGGUGUGUUAAAAUAGCUACAAGAAAAAAAUAUAUUGACCAUUUAAAUAUUGGAGUUUCAGUUACCAAAAUAUAAUGUCAAAAUAAAUAUUAGAGUUUCAGUUUUGUUUUUAAUAAAACACUAAUUGUAUAGAUUAUUUGAAGAAGUAGAAUAGUAUACGUAGAAGAAAAAAACUUAUAUAUUGAUUGUACUUAAAUUUGUAACUCAUGACACAUUAAUAGUUAUACAUACUAUUAUAUGUUAAAUAAUAAUAAUAAUAAUAACAACACAACAUUUGAUAAAGAUGUAGGAGUCUAUUUUAAUAUAUAUAAUAGAUAAAAUGUGUGUUAAAGCAAAAUGAAAGUUGAAUAAUAAAGAGAAUUUAAGCGGAAAAACCAUUUAGAUGUGGCACAUGAGAUUUUUGUUGAGGUGACAAUAUUUGAAUGAAAUGACAUAAUAUUAGAUGAUUUUUAAGUGGGAGUCUAUUUUAAUUUAAGAUUUUUGUUAAAGGGACAAUAUUUGAAUGAAAUGCCAUAAUAUUAGAUGAUGUUUAUGUAGGAGUCUAUUUUAAUAUAUUGUUUAUCUAAAAGAAAAAGGUUUAAAAACAUGUAAUGAUGGAAGAAGAGAUAGAUAAACCUUUAAAAUGAUUCAAUAUAUUAAUUGAUAGUUAAAACAUACAAAGAGGAAAAAUUGUUAUCAACAAAGAGGAAUAAUUGUUAUCAAUAAUGAUGAGGAAACACCGUUAAUUAUCAAUAAUGAUGGAGGAAUAAUGAAUGUCUAAUAAUUGAUAACAUAUUUAUUUAUUGUGUUGUAAUUUGUAACUUAUAGCAUAUGAAUAAUUUUACAAAAUAUAUAUGAAAAAAAUAAAUUGCAAGUAUGAUAAUAAGAAAGAGGAAGAAUCUUGUUAGACGUGCCACAUCAAUUUUUUUUUUAUGGGACAAUAUUUGAAUGAGAUGACACAAUAUUUGAUAAACACGAAGGAGUCUAUUUUAAUAUAUAUUAUAGAUACAUUUUUUUAAUUAUUAUAUAUAGAUACAUAUAUAUCACAGAUCUAGUUUGUUACAAGGUAAAACAAACACAAUAGUUCUUAUUGAUUAAAGUAAAACAUAAUUAAACAAACAUACAUGGUAAUGUAACCGUAGAUAAUGAGUGAGGGAAUUGAAUUCCUUCUCAUCUGUUAUUCAUAUUCAUAGUAGAAACACAACAACCAUGACCUUCUUUAAAUAGAGAUACUAUUGGGAAUGCCUCUAAAAGUCAAUCCUUCUUCACUAGAAGGAUAAAGAAGAGUGUAUGGCAUCUUCACAGGUCCAUUUCGAUUCCUAAGUGUCUCAUCAUUGUUCCUUUGAGUGAGCUUUUGCUCAAUUUCAGCCAACUUCUUUCCAAACCUCUUGUAGGCCUCUAUUGGUUGUGAGUCAGAAGUCCAUAGAUCACCUUCAAUUCUCUGUCCAAGGUAUUGCUCAUCAGAAGCAUGCCUUGACAAGACCUCUAUAAUGGUCAGGUCAGUAAGGGUAUCAUUCUUUGGUGUGAUUGUCCUCAAAUAUGUCUUUUGGUAGUUCUUAGCAAGUUCAUCAUACUCAGGGGAUCCUUUCUCAGGCAUAUAUCUCCUACUUUUAGUUGGUCGGUUAAGGAUAUAUCCUCCAUAUGGAUAUUGUCCAAAAUUAACAGCUGCAUGAAGUGCUGAAGCAAUCCAUAUGAGAAUGGUGCAAGCUUCAAUCAACUCUUUACGAGUUUGCAUCUUAAACCACCAUGUAGCAUUCUUCAAGUCACCAUGACCAACCUCUACAAGUUCUUUCCAAAAUGCUUGGAGUUCAGAAUCUUGUGCAAUAGCAUCAUCUGACUUGUAGUAAAAAUUCACAUAUUCUUCAACCCAUGACUUGAUAGCAGCCCAUAUUUCUAGUCCAUCAGAAGCAUAAGGGUAGUCUUCUAUUAGAAGGCGAAUACCAUAUGGUGAGGAUGGAUCCUCAACAGCCACUCCCCUAUAUAACAAGCAAGGAAAAUAUAAUUAAAAUAUAAAAAUUAGAUCAAUAUCUUUUUUAACAAAUUAAUGGAGUGACCCUUUUGUAAGGUUACCUUUUAUGUAAUUAAAAUAUAAAAAUUAGAUCAAUAUCUUAAACCACAAAUUAAUGGAGUGGCUCAUGGAUGAAAUAUUUUGUAAUUAAGAUUACCUUUUGAGUAAAUCAUAAGGUAGUCCUUGCUCAGUGAAAACCCAAUCCUUGUAAACAGUAGAAGACAUUUCCAAAGCAUAUCCACCCCACAAGAAUGUUGAUUCUAUAAUACCUUCGGCAUUGACAAGGACAUUUCGAGCAAGUGCAUUUAUGUUCAUUGUAUCACGAUAAUGUGGAAGUAAAAGUUUAUGAAUAGGAUGAACCACACUAAGAUGUCUAUUUGUUGCUAUGAUGAAUGGCUCAACAACAGCGUGAGUGUUCAACCUGUCACAUAUAUAUAUUCAUGAAUUACUCAUGGAUAGAUAAAACAUGUUACAUUGUACAAACAUCAUUAAUGAAACUCAUACCAAUGGCUAACAAGUUGGUGAUAACAGGAGUCAUUUACAACAACAUAAGCCUUGGAAAGUAGCCAAAUUGAAGCUUCAACACCUUCGCUUGCCGGCAAGUAUACAUUACUAACAGGACCAAAACUAUCACCUUGAGGAUGUGGCCUACUUAGCUCAAUUGCCAAUGGCUUCAAUGUUCCAUCAUUUUGCAAGAAAAGAAUGGUUCUUGUAGCAUAGGCCUUAGUGUCGGUUGCAUUUAUUUUCCUCAAAUAUGGAAAAAGUGGAUCGUGGUGAUCAAGUAUAUACAAUCUAUUAUUUUGGAUGGCCUGUUAAACAAAAUAUAAUUUUUUUGAUGUGGUUCAUUUGAAUAAAAACAAUCAAUUUUGCUGAAAAAGAAAAAUAUAAUGAAUCCUUUUGGGGAGUGUCCAAUUGUCUUACCUCUUCUACGGUGACACCACUCAUGUUUGGCUCUAAGUGUUCUUUGGUUAUUGUGCUAGUAUUAUCACCAUAGAUUUGACUAUCUAACUUGCUCUUUGGUGGGAACUCCUAAAUUAAUUGUAGCAAAAAAUGAGGUUAAUUACCAAUUAUAAUUAUAGGAUGAAAAGAGACAAAUUAUAAUGUUAACUAUGAAGUUUACCGUAAGUAUUUUGAUGAUGUGUGGAUUAACACCAGCAAUCAUCUCCCUUGCAAAUUCCUCAUCAGUCAUCCAAGCAGAAUGAUCCACUAUUCAUGAUAGAAAAAUUUUAAUAGAACAUUGAACAUCUUUUUUAUGAUUUAGCAUGUAAAUAUAUUUACAAGACUAGGAAUUUGUGAGUAAUAUAUACCUUGAACCACUUUAGGUGGUGGGAAUUUAAGUGCCGAUUCACCAUCACUUCGGAAAAGUUCAGUAAACAAUGGUAUUGGGCUAAUUUCACUUAAUAUAUUAGUGGGAAGCUUAAUUCCACCAUCAUAGAGCGAGCGUACAUCUUCAAAAGUGUUAAAUUCAGGUUCAUUGAGUUGUAAUGUAACUACAGAUCUUAACCGAGGUAUGAUAUUUUGAGAUGCUGAUUUGAGUAUGUAAACAAGAAAAUCUGACGACUUCAAGUGACCAAAUGAUUCAUCUCUUGGAAGGUAAACAACGUCGCUCCGACUCUCACUCUUAGGAUCUGUUCACGUAUAAAAUAACAAAAUAUGUUAUAGAAACUACAAUAAUAUUUUUAAAAUCACAAGUAGAGUAAACAUUGUAUGAACAAAAAGACACAUUGUUCUGCUCCAAAAAAGUGGCACCAUGUCAGUAUAGUUAGCCUUAAUUUCAAUUAUGUCAAGGUACCAUUAAACAACCUGUAUUGGUCACUAGUAACAAAAAAACAUUACAUAAAAAGUUACAUUAAAUACAAUUUCACAUUUUAGUACAAUAUUAUUGGAUUUGUACUAAAAUAUACGUUAAAAGUAAAAUAGAAGGCUUAACCUUUGCUAGUUGGUUUUUUGCCAGUUCUACCCCUUCGAGGGUAAGGAAGGGUGCUCGAUCCUCCAAGAAUUGGACGAGCUAAGGUACUUUUCUUGUCGGGCUCACCCAAAUCAUUGUAGACAUCAUAAUCAUAUAUUCUUUCCCAUUCUUUACGUUCUCCAGUUCCAUCUCCUCUUAAAGUUUUCAACUCUUCUUUUCUAUAGUACACUAAUGGAGCUGGUGUUUCACUUGGAAUAUAUGUCUACAUAAAUUUAAUCAUUCAUAACCUCAAGUUUAACGAACAAUAAUCUAUAUAUAUAACAUUUUUAAUAAAUAUAUUUAACAAAGUAAGAUAAAAUUUAUAUACUUAAUUACCUUGUUGGCAAAGAAAAUGCGACCAGUUUUGUACUUUUUAGAAUUGUAAACCCAUGAGUUGCAAACAAAGUUGAUGGUUCCAUGGUUUGGAACAUCUUCAAGAGUCAAACUCACAAGGAAGAAUUCACCUUGCAUAAAAUUAUCGAUAUAAAAAGCUCCUGGAAUUCCCAUAUCACUAUCCCAUUCAAAAUGAAUACUGAAAGCAGUUUGUUUGUCUCCCAAUGUUGGUAAAGAGGUAAGAAGACCUUCCAAAAAUGUUUGCUUUCCUACUUUUCCUUUUCCAGUUCCUAUUAAAAUGUCAAAUUUUGGAUUCCCAAUUUCAUUAAUCACCAUCCUAAACUGAUUAUUUAUAACUAAUAUUCUAAAUAAAAAAUAACACGAAACUAAGGUCAAUCUUAAUGGACUGAGGGGUAAAACUCUUCAAAAAUAUAAGAUAAAAUUACUUACAGUUGAUAAAACUAAGAAUUUUUUUUUACUCCUUCAUAUAAGUCCAAUUAUAUAUGAUCGUCUUAAAAUUUUAAAUUACAUAAGAAAAUUUCUAGAUGUGACUCUCAUUUAUGCAGCACCCAACAAAUCUAGGACUCUAGAUCAAAGGUGGAUAAUAUAUUCAAAAAUAAUUAUUAUCAAAGUAAAAGUCUUAACUGAUUUUUUUGAGAAAAAUAAAUUGAAACCUUGCAACUUUGGUCUUGGAUAAAAAUAGUAAAAUAUUUUAUUCCGAAAUCACUUGUCUCUUUACACUUUUUUCAUUUAUCUUGUUAUUUAAAUAAAUGAUUUUCUAUAAAUCUAUUUUUUAUUUGUUUUCGUCUCAUUUAGAGUAUUCUUUUUUUUAGAUUAACUUAGAUACACUCCAACGUGAUUAACGUUUACAGAUUCGGAGACAAAAAUACUUUGGUCAGUUUAAAUUUAUCAAAUUUAAAAGUAUUUUAUUGUUUUAUGUCAUUAAUCUAAAUAUUAAAUUUGUUCACAAAUUCACGAUUUUCAAUUUUAAUGAAUUUAUAUUUGUAUUAUUCUCUAUCUAUGUAUUUUAUUUAUUUAAAUGAAGUUUAUAUUAUUGUUUAAUAAAAAAAAUAAUCUUAAUUUUACCAAUAAAAAAUGAUAAAACUUUUUUAAAUAAUGACAAACUUUAUCUACUCUUUGGAUCAACUUACUUAACCUUUUUAUAAUAGAAAUAAUUUAUAUGUAAACAUUUAAUUAAAUGGUAUAUUAAAACAGAGAGAGUGAAUAGUAACUAAAAAAAAAUUAGAGAGUGAGAAAGAGAAUUGUUAUUACCAUCGUCAGUUGUAGCACUGAUCAACUUGAAAGCAAUAGAACGACCCAAGAAAGAAGUGGCGGUAUCAAGUAAAGAGCCGGCGAUAUCUCCGAUAGCGCCGAUGGCACCACCGAUUAUACCACCGGGGCUUUGAACUGCAGUGAGAGUGUUGAUGUCCAAAACAUUCUUUUGCAUCAACACCACAGUUCCUUUCAGCUUUUCGCCUCUGUUAAAAAUACCUUUCACCAAUGAAGCCAUCAAGCUAUGUUAAUUAAUUCACUUUCUUUGUCAAAUGUAAGAAAAGCUCGUGUCUUGUAACCAUGGAGUGUGCUCAGUAUUUAUAGACUAUCGUAGUUGUCAUAAGAAGGUUAGAUCACUAAAAAUAUACUUUUUUAUUCAUUAUUUGACAACAUGUAAAAAUACAUUGGGACACAUCUCUUCAGCUAUUUUUUUAAUUUUUUAUUAAAUUUUAUUUAUUAAAAAAUGUAGGAUGAUAAAAUAAUGUCUCAACUUAAGUUAGUGAAGAUUUUAUAGUUGAUUGAACACUUACAAAUAAUUUACAUUUUUACUGCUAUAUUAAUGUUGUUGUUUCUUGUGCAAUUUUUUAUUUAUCAUGAUUAUCUCGUGGUUUUUAAAAUAAUAAUAUAUCAUUUGCAUAAUUAUUUUGAUCGUUGUUAUAUGUACCGGCUUCGACGUUAUGGGUAAUGAUGAGCCUAUUGCACUAUUGUUAAUUACGUUCUUACGUGUAAGCCGACCAAAAUAUUCUUUUUUUAAUUUUUGUACUCUUGUUUAAAAGUAAAUUUCUAAUUUAACCCUUGAUCUCACCUAUUCACUAAUUAAUUUAUUAAAGUAUUCUAAUUUAAUAUUUCUAAUGUUAAUCACGUUUUUGUUUUGUUUUAAGGGAUAGUUAACUUUAGAGUUAUCUUUAUAUUAUAAUAUAGAAAAUAUAAUUUAAAUUAUAUUUUAUUUUAUCUUAAAUCUAAAAUAACAGUAGUAUUUGACUAUUUCACACAAAUUAAAUAAAAUUUGAUAAUUAAAAGAUAAAAUAAUUAUUGUUAAUUAAAUUAUUCUUCUUAACCAUUGAUAUAUUCUAUUUACCAUAAAUACAAAAUAGUGAGUAAUAAGUUGAUAGUGAUUAACAUAAUAUUAAUACUUAAUUGUAGUUUUGAACACUUUAUUUUUAUCAAUUCACGAAAUUGAUCCCACUAUUUUAAAAGUAGGUAAUUUUAGUUCCUUUAUUAGAUUUUUGAACUAAAAAAAUGACAAUUCGACGUAUUUUAAAUAAUAUGAGCUUCAGUUCAAUGGUAUAGAAUCAUCUAAGUGAAUUAAUUAUUCAUAUAUCAGUAAUUAAAUUAAAAAUAUGAAAAAAAUUUGAAGUUGAAAGUUAAAUUUCUAUAGAGUUUUAUUUUGAUUUUAUGAAUAUUAAUUAUUCUAUAUCAUCGUAUCAUAUAACAUAUUAUUUAAAACAUGUCACGUGACCAUUUUUUAGUUAAAAAUAGAAGGAGGAGCCAAAUUGUGAACUUCUAAAAUAGGAGAUCAAUUUAUGAAUCAGUAAAAAUAUAAUGACUAAAACAUAAUAUUAAUUUUACAAUAUAUUAAUUAUACAAUGUUCGUACAUUAUCAAUAUAAAAUAAUUUUACAUUGACAUCCAACAAAAAAUCGUCAUAUUUCUAUGUCACAUGAUUAAUUUUAAAAUAAUUAUAAAAAUGUAUAAUGAUGUGGCAAAAUCAUGAAUUCUUAUUAAAUGUAUGUAAAACAAUUUUCCACCGAGAAUGUAUAUUCUUUAAUUUCAUCGUAAAUUAUUCACACUUUUGUAUAUAUUGGAACACUAACCUCUUUUGUCAUUCUCCCCUUAUCUCUUUCUCUAUUGUUAUGAUGAUUAGAGUUUGGUUCAACCUUCUUUAAAUUAUUUCGUCAUUGUUUUGUUAUUGUGUUCCCAAAAAUUUAGGAAUGUAAUAUGAUUCUAUUUUCUCUUUUUUGAUGUAAUUGUGUUUGCAUUGCUUUUUAGUGAUCAAUUCUUUGAUUGUUCUUUCUCUCCUCUUCCCAUUUUGCUUUUGGUUGUUUCUUAUUGGGUUUUCAAAAUCAAUUCACUACAUAUCGUCUUCCACUUUUUGUGCUUGAAGAGUGGGGUUUGAUGAUCAUCAUCAUGUAGGCUCUCAUUUCAUUGUGUUUGAUUGUGAUUACUGGGAACAUGUUAAUUGGCAUUGCUACAAACAACAUCCAUAAAUUCAUGUAAUCGAACAAUUUUUUGUUACCUUAAUUAUACCUUCCACAAUAUCUCUACCGCUAUCGACCCAUUUGUUAUGACUAAUAUUGUGGAGUUGAUUUUUUUUGUCCAUCUAUUUUUAUUGUUGCGAAUCUUUGCUAAUUUGGUGUUAAAUUACGGGUCAGUUGUCCAAUUGAUUUAGUUGGAUUUUCGUUGUAAAUUUUUUUGUUGGUUGGAUUUUUCUUUUGAUUGUGAUUUAUUAAUAUGACCGAUGUUCCUUUUUUUGGGUGAUAUAUUUUAUUUGGUUGCUCCCUUCUCGAUUUAUUUCUUUCUUUAUAGUGAAUGUUUGAUAUAGUCGAUGAUCUUUUCUUUGGUUGUUGCUCCUUCUUUGGCUGCUCAUCUCUAUAUUGGUUUUAUAUUGUGGUUGUUGCUCUAAUUACUCUUCAUGUCAUGUAUAUUUUUCUAUUUUUUAGUUUCAACUUUCGUCUUUGAAUUGUAGUUUUUAGUCAAUUAAGUUUCAUUUUAGAAUAAAAUUGCAUAUCUUUGUUGUCUGAGUAAAUGAUUGAAUUUGAUUUGUUUUCCUAUUUAAUCAAAAAAAUUGUUGUAGUGUUGUUUUGAAAGAGUCUCAAAUUAUUCAAGAGAAUAUUGUCUGUAACAUUUUGCUUAAUUUCUCAGGGCACAAAUUCAAAUUAAAGUGACUUUUGGAAGCUUAGGGAGAUUGUUUCUUGCAUCGAAGGUGUGGAAGUGUGUCUUAAAUCAAUAACAAUUUGGAGUUAGUUAGUUAGUUAUAAAUGCAUUGUGUAUGUUGUAACGUGUUGUUGCAAGUGGUAAUUGAUGAUUGAGAGAGAGGGACAUAUACAAUUCGAGAUUCAUAGAAAUUCAAAGAAGAAAGAUCAAGGGAGAGAAAAAGAUUGAGUAAAAUGACUAGUAUUGCUAAUUCAUAAACAAUGAUAGAUACUAAGAGAUCAAUCUUGAGAAGACCUUAAUCUUGUAAAGUUCAAUUAACAAUAGUGGAUUAAUCUUGUUUGCUUUGCCCGUGACGUAGGUCUCAUCAAUUGGGACUGAACGCGUAAAUCUGAGUGUUAUUCUUCUCCUAUCUCUCUUUAAUUUUCGUUUACAUUGAUUAAAAACUGGUUUUUAAACUGUAGAAAAAGAAGAACGAUAAAUAGUCUUCGUUUUCUGGUUUUCAGUUAUGUUCAACAACGUUCUCCGUUUUCGUUUUUUCUCUGCAAUUAUUUGUCUUCUAUUUUUGUUGGUUAAUUCUUGUUGCAGAUCACAAUAUUGUUUUAACCGAAGGAACACAAAGUUGAAUAUUUCAACCUAAGAUACUGGAUUUGGAGAUUUCGUUCUUGAUAUUUCAUGUGUAAAAUCUUAACUUGUUUUAUAUUGAAUAGGUUAAGUGGCUAAACUCUUCAAUGUUCAGGAUAAGUAGAAUUUGAUUAAACCUUUGAAUAUAUUGUUUGAUUGUUUUUUUUUAUCUUUUGAACGAGUUUAUUGAAUUGUUUUUCUUAUCUCUAUGUUUAAUGCUAUUGAUAGACCGAUCAAACAAUAUAUUCUUGGUCAAUUGAGAUAUUUUAAGAAGUAAAAGAUCAAUAAAAAAAUUCUUGGUCAAUUAAAUUUAACUCUAAUUUUAAAUCUACUAAGAAAUUAUGAUUUAUUUUAGGAUUAAAGGUUUUGUUAUUAAGAAAUUAGGAAAAUAACAAUGAAGAGAAUUUAGUAACAUUUCACUAGACGACUUCAGUAGCUAUGUUGUUGUCCAAUCAUAUUUAUAUCUUUUUUUUCAAUUAAGUAAUUCAAUUACAACUCAACAGUAUAAUACAAUAUUUGUGAUCGACACUAAGUAACUAUUGUAUUAUUACUUGCAACGAUUCAAUAUAUUUGCUGACAUUGCUAUCAUUCUCCUUAUUUGGUUGAUCUAUUCUCUGUUAGUUUCUCUCUUUAAUGUGACUAUCUAGUAUAGUUGUUGUUCAUUUUUUGGUUGUUUUUCUCUCUUAUUGUUCCUCUAUUAUAAGUAUUUGAAAUGAAUGUUGCUCUUUCUUUAGUUGUUCAUCUCUCUAAUAGUUCUGAUCUUAGUUGGUUUAAUUUGAUAUUCUCUUUUAAAAAUAUAUCAGUUGAUCACUUCAAUAACUGUAGUAAAAUUAAUAGUUCAGUAAGCCAAACUGAAGCUUCAUCACCUUAGCUUGCAGGCAAUAUACAUUACUAACAUGACCAUAACUAUCACCUUGAGGAUGAGGCCUACUUAGCUCAAUGGUCAAUGGCUUCAAAGUUUCAUCAUUUUGCAAGAAAAUGAUGGUUCUCGUAGCAUAAGCCUUUGUGUCAGUUGCAGUGAUUUACCUCAAAUAUGGAAAGAGUAUAUUUUGGUGAUCAAGUAUGUAUAACCUAUUAUUUUCGAAAACCUGUUCAAUAAGGUAUGUUUUUUUUAAUAAAGAAACAAUUAUACAUAAUAUUAAUAGUAUAAUUAAUUCUUUCAAAUAAUAUGUUGUAUUAUGGCAUUGAUGAUCACCUGUUCUAGAGUGACCCCUUCGAUGCUUUGGCUAUCUAAUUUGCUCUUUAGCGGGAACUCUUAUAUUAAAUGUACCAAACAUUGGGGUAAAUUACCAAUUAUAAACACAGUACGAAAAGUGGACAAAAAGUCUUCAUUUAUUUUUUUCAUAUUAUGUUAAUAAUAUUAAACUAUUAACUUUAUCAAAAGUUUGAAAUUUCACACUAAUAAUCAUCUCACGUGCAAAUUUUUCAUUAACCAUCCAUAUAGAAUGAUCACUACAAAUAGUAAUAAUAACAUGUUAAAAGAUUUGAGUUUAAUGUAUACGAUUUUGUAUAUAAAUAUAUUGUUGAGACUAGGAAUUUGUGUAUAAUAUAUACUUUGAACAACUUUAAGUGUUGGAUACUUAAGUGUCGAUUCACCGUUAUUUCGAAAAAGUUCCUUGAAUAAUAACGGUAAGGAUGUUCUUGUGAGCAUCCCUCACAAAUUAUUCCAUAUAUUUUCUAUAAUAUGACCAUUCCCUUUCAUAACUGAUAUGCACUCUACAUAGUGAACUAGUGGUUACUAGUUCCCCUUAUCCUAAGAUAUUUUGAGAAUAAGUUCUAUAUAACACUUUUGAAUAAUAAAUCCAAUAUUUUUUUCAUGUGAUAAUUGAUUAUAAUUCUUAAACUCCAUUAAUAUUGAAAAAUAGUUGGUUGAAGAAAUAAAAUCAUUAAAAACCUUGAUAUAUGUUCAUAAUUCAUUCACUCAAAAUAUGAAGUUUGCAUUUUAUAUAAUAGCUCCAUCACAAUACAAGGUACAAUUACAAACAUAGAAGUUUUUAUUGAGGAAAGACAUUAUUACAAUCAACCAAGCAUACAUAAAAACAUGACCAUACAUAGCAGGAGAAGGAAUUCAAUUAUUCUCAUAUUUUAUUCAUAGCAACCACACAACAACCAUGACCUUUUUAGAUGGAGACACUAUUAGGAAUACCUCUGAAAGUCAAUCCUUCCUCACUAGAAGGAUAAAGCAAAGUGUAUGGCAUCUUCACAGGCCCAUAUCGGUUUCUCAAUGACUCAUCUUUGUUCCUUUGAAUGAGCUUUUGCUCAAUUUCAGCCAAUUUACUUCCAAAUUUCUUGAAGGCCUCUACUGGUUUUGAGUCAGAAGUCCAAAGGUCGCCUUCAAUUCUCUGUCCAAGGUAUUGCUCAUCAGAAGCAUGCCUUGACAAGACCUCUAUAAUGGUCAGGUCAGUAAGGGUGUCAUUCUUUGGUGUUAUUGUCCUCAAAUACACUUUUUGGUAGUUCUUAGCAAGUUCAUCAUACUCAGGGGAUCCUUUCUCAGGCAUAUAUCUCCUACUUUUAGUUGGUCGGUUAAGGAUAUAUCCUCCAUAUGGAUAUUGUCCAAAAUUAACAGCUGCAUGAAGUGCUGAAGCAAUCCAUAUGAGAAUAGUGCAAGCUUCAAUCAACUCUUUACGAGUUUGCAUCUUAAACCACCAUGUUGCAUUCUUCAAGUCACCAUGACCAACCUCAACAAGUUCUUUCCAAAAUGCUUGGAGUUCAGAAUCUUGUGCAAUAGCAUCAUCUGACUUGUAGUAAAAAUUCACAUAUUCUUCAACCCAUGACUUGAUAGCAGCCCAUAUUUCUAGUCCAUCAGAAGCAUAUGGAUAGUCCUCUAUCAAAAGACGAAUGCCAUGUGGUGAAGUUGCAUCCUCAACAGCCACUCCUCUAUAUAACAAGCAAGGUAGAUAACAUGAAUAUUGUUUUAGAUCAACAAUUUUCUAGCUAAUGAAAAUAACUAGGAUCUAAUGUUUUGUUACAUUACCUUUUGAGUAGGUCAUUAGGUAGUCCUUGCUCAGUGAAAACCCAAUCCUUGUAAACAACAGCAGACAUUUCCAAAGCAUAUCCUCCCCACAAGAAUGUUGAUUCUAUAAUACCCUCAGCAUUGACAAGGACAUUUCGUGCAAGUGAAUUUAUGUUCAUUGUAUCACGAUAGUGUGGAAGUAAAAGUUUGUGAAUAGGGUGAACCACACUAAGAUGUCUGUUUGUGGCUAUGAUGAACGGUUCAACAACAGCAUGAGUGUUUAACCUGUCAACCAUAUAGAUAUUAAUGAAUAACUUACAAAUAAAUAAAGUAUGUUAGAGUGUAUAAAUAUCAUUAAUGAAAUUCAUACCAAUGACUGACAAGUUGGUGAAAGCAUGAGUCAUUUACAACUACAAAAGCCUUAGCAAGUAACCAAAUAGAACCUUCAACACCUUCACUUGCUGGCAAAUAAACAUCACUAACAGGACCGUUACUAUCACCUUGAGGAUGUGGCUUACUUAGCUCAAUGGCAAGUGGCUUCAAAGUUCCAUUAUUUUGCAAGAAAAGGACGGUUCUAGUUGCAUAGGCCUUUGUCUCAGUUGCAUUUAUUUUCCUCAAAUAAGGAAAGAUUGUGUCAUGGUGAUCAAGUAUGUAUAGAAGGUUGUUUUGGAUAGCCUAUUGAACAAAAUAUAAUUAGUCAUUGUGGUUCACUUUAACUAAAAUGAGUGAAUUCUCUAGAAAAGCAAUAAUAGCACCAAUCCUUCAUAAUAAUGUUAAAUUAUGACAUUACCUGCUCUACAGUGACUCCACCCAUGUUUGGCUCUAAGUGUUCUUUAGUUAUUGUGCUGGUAUUAUUACCAUAGAGUUGGCUAUCUAGUUUGCUCUUUGGUGGGAACUCCUGCAUUAUAUGUAUCAAGCAAUGAGGUUACCAAUUACAAACAUAGCGUAAAAGUGGAUAAAAUAGUUUCUAUGUAAUGUUAUAUUUGCUUAAUAAUGUUAAUAUAUUGACUUUACCGAAAGUUUUUUGAUGAUGUGUGGAUUCACACCAGCAAUCAUCUCCCUUGCAAAUUCCUCAUCAGUCAUCCAAGCAGAAUGAUCCACUGUUUAUAAUAAGAAAAUUUGAAAAUAUCCAUGAGUUUUCUAUAUAUAAUUUUGUAUGUUUAUAUUUAUAUAUCUUAUAAUAGAAAUAGGAAUGUGUUACUCUUGUAUACCUUCAACCACUUUAGGUGGCGAAAACUUAAGGGCUGAUUCACCAUCAGUGCGAAAAAUUUCCUUAAACAAUGGUAUUGGGCUUAUCUCGCUAAGUACAUUAGUAGGCAGCUUAAUUCCACCGUCAUAUAGUGAACGCACAUCUUCAAAGGUGUUAAAUUCGGGCUGAUUUAAUUGUAAUGUAACUACCGAACGUAAAUUGGGUAUGAUAUUUUGAGUUGCUGAUUUGAGUAUGUAAAUAAGAAAGUCAGAUGACUUUGCAUGGCCAAAUGAUUCAUCUCUUGGAAGAUAAACAAAGUCGCUCCGACUCUCACUCUUAGGAUCUACAUAAAUACGUAAGAAAAAAAUGAGUUAACAACGAUAACAUUUCUAAAAUCAUAAAUAAAAAACACUAUUCAAUACUGACAAAACCAUUUUGCAUCUCAAGUUACCAUAUAACUUCACAUUUGAACAUUACGUAAAUUUUUAAUCCCUAUAAAAUUUAAAAUUUUGUUUUUAGUCUCUGUAAAAAGAAUCACAUUUUUUAGUCCCUAAUAAAUUAUUAUACAAAUAUUUUUAGUCCUUGUUUGAACAUCAACAUAUAUGUAUGAAUGAUUUUUUUUAUAUCCAUGUAUACAAUACUAUAAAAAGUUCUUCCACAAAAAAUAAGCUCAUAAUUCGAUUUCUAGAUUAAUAUUUUAAUGAUUUUUAUCUUGUAUGACAAUUAAAAAAUUCAUAUUUAAUUCAUCAUAAGUUAAAAAAUUCUAAAUUUUUAUGGAUGAACUUUUAUUAAUGUUCUAAACAUGAUUGCAAAAUAUCAUUCAAAAAUUUAAAAGUUAAAGAAUAUUUCUUUCCACCAAAACUUAAAACUUUUAAAAUCAUUUUGUAGAGACGAAAAACUUAUUUAACACCACAUUUAAUUAUGCUAUAUCAUAUGUACUAAAAUAUCUUUAAAAAAAUUGAUAUAGGCAAAUUGAAAAGUGACUUAAUUGUUUAGGUUUAACCUUUCUUAGCUGGUUUUCUGCCUGUUCUGCCUCUUCGAGGAUAUGGCAAGGUACUAGAUCCUCCAAGAACUGGACGAGCCAAGGUAGCUUUCUUGUCUGGUUCACCCAAAUCAUUGUAGACAUCAUAAUCAUAUAUUCUUUCCCAUUCUUUACGCUCUCCAGUUCCAUCUCCUCUUAAAGUUUUCAAUUCUUCUUGUCUAUAGUAAACUAAUGGGGACGGUGUUUGACUUGGAAGGUAUGUCUACAUUUAUAUUUAUUCGACAAUGUCAAGUUUAACAAAUAUAAUUUGUAUGUAACAUGUCAUAUAAAUAUGAUUUUUUUUCCUUACCUUGUUAGCAAAAAAGAUGCGAUGACUUUUGUACUUAUUAUCAUUGUAAACCCAUGAGUUGCAAACAAAGGUGAUCGAUCCAUGGUUUGGAAUAUCUUCUAGAGUCAAACUCACAAGGAAGAAUUCAUGUUGCAUGAAAUUUUCGACAUAAAAUGCUCCAGGAAUUCCCAUGUCAUUGUCCCAUUCAAAAUGAAUCCUAUAAGCAGAUUGUUUGUCUCCCAAUGUUGGUAUGGAGGUAAGAAGACCUUCCAAAAAUGUUUGCUUUCCUACUUUCCCUUUUCCA